UCUACGGGUGGCAGCAGUGAGGAAUAUUGGUCAAUGGACGAGAGUCUGAACCAGCCAAGUAGCGUGAAGGAUGACUGCCCUAUGGGUUGUAAACUUCUUUUAUAUGGGAAUAAAAUGUUCCACGUGUGGGAUUUUGUAUGUACCUUAUGAAUAAGGAUCGGCUAACUCCGUGCCAGCAGCCGCGGUAAUACGGAGGAUCCGAGCGUUAUCCGGAUUUAUUGGGUUUAAAGGGAGCGUAGGUGGAUUGUUAAGUCAGUUGUGAAAGUUUGCGGCUCAACCGUAAAAUUGCAGUUGAUACUGGCAGUCUUGAGUACAGUAGAGGUGGGCGGAAUUCGUGGUGUAGCGGUGAAAUGCUUAGAUAUCACGAAGAACUCCGAUUGCGAAGGCAGUUCACUAGACUGCAACUGACACUGAUGCUCGAAAGUGUGGGUAUCAAACAGGAUUAGAUACCCGAGUAGUC
rnacentral:rRNA from 1 species